AAUCAAGCCUCCCACAAAGUAAGAUGUAUAAUUAGUUUUCGCAUAACAGGUCACAACAAAAAAGCGUGCGUGAGCAUGCUAAGGAGUACUUAAAACGGUUGUCAAAAGACCAAAUUCAUCGUCUAUAGAGAUGCAUAAAUCAGAUGUUGAUGUAAGUGAGCACGUGGAUACUCAAAGCCAGAGUGGAGCCAACAUGGGAGUUUUUACAUGGAAAUAUUUUAUAUGAAUUUUAUGAAUUAUUUUUGUAAUCAGUACUAUGAAUCAUUUUAUAUUUG